rnacentral:rRNA from 1 species
GACGAACGCUGGCGGCGUGCUUAACACAUGCAAGUCGAACGAAGAGCGCUGGAAGCUUGCUUCUAUCAAUCUUAGUGGCGAACGGGUGAGUAACGCGUAAUCAACCUGCCCUUCAGAGGGGGACAACAGUUGGAAACGACUGCUAAUACCGCAUACGAUCCAAUCUCGGCAUCGGGACUGGAUGAAAGGUGGCCUCUAUUUAUAAGCCAUCACUGAAGGAGGGGGUUGCGUCUGAUUAGCUAGUUGGAGGGGUAACGGCCCACCAAGGCGAUGAUCAGUAGCCGGUCUGAGAGGAUGAACGGCCACAUUGGGACUGAGACACGGCCCAGACUCCUACGGGAGGCAGCAGUGGGGAAUCUUCCGCAAUGGACGAAAGUCUGACGGAGCAACGCCGCGUGAGGGAUGACGGCCUUCGGGUUGUAAAGCUCUGUUAAUCGGGACGAAUGGUUCUUGUGCGAAUAGUGCGAGGAUUUGACGGUACCGGAAUAGAAAGCCACGGCUAACUACGUG